UGGGGAAUAUUGCACAAUGGGCGGAAGCCUGAUGCAGCGACGCCGCGUGAGGGAUGACGGCCUUCGGGUUGUAAACCUCUUUCAGUAGGGACGAAGCGUAAGUGACGGUACCUGCAGAAGAAGCACCGGCUAACUACGUGCCAGCAGCCGCGGUAAUACGUAGGGUGCGAGCGUUGUCCGGAAUUACUGGGCGUAAAGAGCUCGUAGGCGGUUUGUCACCUCGUCUGUGAAAUCCUAGGGCUUAACCCUGGACGUGCAGGCGAUACGGGCAGACUUGAAGACUACAAGGGAGACUGGAAUUUCUGGUGUAGGGGGGGAAUGCACAGAAAUCAGGAAGAACACCGAUGGGGAAGGCAGGGCUCUGGGUAGUAACUGACGCUGAGGAGCGAAAGGAUGGGUAGCGAACAGG
rnacentral:rRNA from 1 species